UCUUCCGACCAUUCCCCACCCGAGCUCCGCGAAGCCAUGGCCAUGGCCGCCCAUCGCUUCCCUUCAUCCUCCCCUCUCCGCUCGUCCCUAUCGUGCAUACUACGCUCCUCCCGCCUCUUCUCUUCCCAGUCCUCCGAUGACCAGGCUGUCCUCACCGUCGAGACAAGCGUCCCCUUUACCGCCCAUAAGUGCGACCCUCCACCGCGCACCAUCGACACUACCCCCAAGGAACUCCUCGGCUUCUUCCGUGAGAUGUCCGUCAUGCGCCGCAUGGAGAUCGCCGCUGAUACCCUUUACAAGGCCAAGCUCAUCCGCGGGUUUUGCCACCUCUACGACGGUCAGGAAGCCGUUGCAGUGGGCAUGGAGGCGGCCAUCACUCGCCGUGAUGCUAUAAUCACCGCAUACCGUGAUCACUGUAUCUACCUCGCCCGCGGUGGUGACCUUGUUUCGGCCUUAGCCGAGCUCAUGGGCCGCCGCGCUGGGUGCUCCAAGGGUAAGGGUGGGUCUAUGCAUUUCUACAAGAAGGACGCUCAGUUCUAUGGCGGCCAUGGUAUCGUUGGAGCCCAAAUUCCUCUUGGUUGUGGUAUUGCCUUCGGGCAGAAGUACUCUAAGGAUGAGACUGUCACAUUUACUUUGUAUGGAGAUGGGGCUGCGAACCAGGGCCAGCUCUUUGAGGCCCUCAACAUGGCUGCGCUCUGGGACCUGCCUGUGAUCCUGGUUUGCGAGAAUAACCACUAUGGAAUGGGGACUGCAGAGUGGAGGGCAUCGAAGAGCCCUGCUUAUUACAAGCGUGGCGACUAUGUUCCUGGUUUGAAGGUCAAUGGGAUGGAUGUUUUUGCAGUAAAGCAAGCAUGUAGUUUUGCCAAGGAACAUGCUUUAAAGAAUGGACCAAUUAUACUUGAAAUGGAUACUUAUAGGUACCAUGGCCACUCCAUGUCAGAUCCUGGGAGCACUUAUCGUACUCGUGAUGAAAUUACUGGUGUAAGGCAGGAGCGUGAUCCAAUUGAAAGGAUCCGAAAGUUGAUAUUGUCUCAUGAACUAGCCACUGCCUCUGAACUCAAGGAUGUUGAAAAGCAAAUCCGAAAGGAAGUAGAUGAUGCUAUUGCUCAAGCCAAAGAGAUCGCGAUGCCAGAUCCGUCUGAGCUAUUUACCAAUGUAUAUGUGAAAGGUUAUGGUGUUGAGUCAUUUGGGCCUGAUAGGAAAGAGUUGAAAGGUGUUCUUCCAUGAAUGAAUUGAAGCAAACCUUAUUAUAUCAAUCACUACAGCAAAUAUUACUGAGAAUAAACUAAUGAUGAGAAUUUCACAGUUCUGAGUGUUUCUGGUUUUUUACUUGUUGAUAUUUUGAUGAAGAAAGUGAAUCAAUGGACUUGUGUGAAGUUAAGGUUGCUACAAGAGUCAACAUGGAGAAAAACUCUUUCAUCCUUAAAACUCAUAGAUAUGGUCACUGUAAUAACACUGAAAGAAGUAGUUGAUGUGUUUUUCCCCCUUUUUUUUUUUAAGGGUUUU